GUAGGGUAGUGUGAUGGAGUAGGGUAGUGUGAUGGAGUAGGGUAGUGUGAUGGAGUAGGGUAGUGUGAUGGAGUAAGGUAGUGUGAUGGAGUAAGGUAGUGUGAUGGAGUAAGGUAGUGUGAUGGAGUAAGGUAGUGUGAUGGAGUAGGGUAGUGUGAUGGAGUAAGGUAGUGUGAUGGAGUAGGGUAGUGUGAUGGAGUAGGGUAGUGUGAUGGAGUAGGGUAGUGUGAUGGAGUAAGGUAGUGUGAUGGAGUAGGGUAGUGUGAUGGAGUAGGGUAGUGUGAUGGAGUAGGGUAGUGUGAUGGAGUAAGGUAGUGUGAUGGAGUA